UACACACACACAGACUGCUGAGUCCAUACAAACACAGACACAUAGACUGCUGAGUCCAUACACACACAUACACAGACUGCUGAAUCCACACACACACACACACACACAGAGACUGCUGAGUCCUUACACACACACAGACUGCUGAGUCCAUACAAACACAGACACAUAGACUGCUGAGUCCAUACACGUACACACACAGACUGCUGAGUCC